CAAGAGCGUAUAUUAAAGUUGCUGCGGUUAAAAAGCUCGUAGUUGGAUUUCAGUCUAGGAAGGUUAACUCGCCGAAAGGUUGUACGUUGAUUUUCCUCAGACUUCGUCAGAAGCUCGUGCUGCACUUAACUGUGUGGUACGAUGUUCUGACCUUUUACCUUGAGGAAAGUAGAGUGUUUCAGGCAGGCUACCCAGCUUGAAUACAUUAGCAUGGAAUAAUGAAAUGGAUCUCGGUUCGAUUUCGUUGGUUCUAGAGCUGAGGUGAUGAUCAAUAGGAACAGGCGAAGGUAUUCGUACUUGAGAGUGAGGAGUGAAAUCCGAUGAUCUCUUAAAGACGAUCCGAGGCGAAAGCAUUUGUCAAGGAUGUUUUCAUUGG
rnacentral:rRNA from 1 species